UAUUCGUAUCGACCCGAGUAGUAGCGAAGCUAACGCGUUAAGCAUCCCGCCUGUGGAGUACGGUCGCAAGACUAAAACAUAAAGGAAUUGACGGGGACCCGCACAAGCGGUGGAGCGUGUUGUUUAAUUCGAUGGUAAGCGAAGAACCUUACCCAGACUUGACAUCCUUGGAAGCACUGCGAAAGCAGAGUGUGCCUCCGGGAACCAAGUGACAGGUGUUGCAUGGCCGUCGUCAGCUCGUGUCGUGAGAUGUUUGGUUAAGUCCAUCAACGAGCGCAACCCUUGUGGCUAGUUGAAUUUUUCUAGUCAGACUGCCCUGGUAACAGGGAGGAAGGAGGGGAUGAUGUCAGGUCAGUAUUACCCUUACGUCUGGGGCUACAAACACGCUACAAUGGCCGGUACAAAGGGCUGCCAAGUCGCGAGACGGAGCAAAUCCCAUCAAAACCGGUCCCAGUUCGGAUUGCAGGCUGAAACUCGCCUGCAUGAAGUCGGAAUCGCUAGUAACGGUAGGUCAGCACACUACCGUGAAUACGUUCCCGGGUCUUGUACACACCGCCCGUCAAACCAUGAAAGUCGCCAAUACCUGACGUCUUAGCUAGUCUAGGCCUAAGGUAGGGGAGAUGAUUGGGGUUAAGUCGUAACAAGGUACC
rnacentral:rRNA from 1 species